GACGAACGCUGGCGGCGUGCUUAACACAUGCAAGUCGAACGGAAAGGCUCCAGCUUGCUGGAGUGCUCGAGUGGCGAACGGGUGAGCAACACGUGGGCAAUCUGCCCUGCACUCUGGGAUAAGCCUGGGAAACUGGGUCUAAUACCGGAUAGGACCUUUCUCCUCAUGGGGUUUGGUGGAAAGUUUUUCGGUGCAGGAUGAGCCCGCGGCCUAUCAGCUUGUUGGUGGGGUAAUGGCCUACCAAGGCGACGACGGGUAGCCGGCCUGAGAGGGUGAUCGGCCACAUUGGGACUGAGAUACGGCCCAGACUCCUACGGGAGGCAGCAGUGGGGAAUAUUGCACAAUGGGCGAAAGCCUGAUGCAGCGACGCCGCGUGAGGGGUGACGGCCUUCGGGUUGUAAACCUCUUUCAGUAGGGACGAAGCGCAAGUGACGGUACCUGCAGAAGAAGCACCGGCUAACUACGUG
rnacentral:rRNA from 1 species